CCUACGGGAGGCAGCAGUGAGGAAUAUUGGUCAAUGGGAGAGAGCCUGAACCAGCCAAGCCGCGUGAAGGAAGACGGCCCUAUGGGUUGUAAACCUCUUUUGUCGGAGAACAAAAUCCGGGACGUGUCCCUGACUGCGUGUAUCCGAAGAAAAAGCAUCGGCUAACUCCGUGCCAGCAGCCGCGGUAAUACGGAGGAUGCGAGCGUUAUCCGGAUUUAUUGGGUUUAAAGGGUGCGUAGGCGGUUCGAUAAGUUAGAGGUGAAAUCCCGGGGCUCAACUCCGGCACUGCCUCUGAUACUGUCGGGCUAGAGUUUAGUUGCGGUAGGCGGAAUGUAUGGUGUAGCGGUGAAAUGCAUAGAGAUCACGAAGAACUCCGAUUGCGAAGGCAGCUCACUGGACUGCAACUGACACUGAGGCUCGAAAGUGUGGGUAUCAAACAGGAUUAGAUACCCUUGUAGUC
rnacentral:rRNA from 1 species